rnacentral:rRNA from 1 species
GAUGAACGCUGGCGGCGUGCCUAAUACAUGCAAGUCGAGCGAACAGACGAGGAGCUUGCUCCUCUGACGUUAGCGGCGGACGGGUGAGUAACACGUGGAUAACCUACCUAUAAGACUGGGAUAACUUCGGGAAACCGGAGCUAAUACCGGAUAAUAUAUUGAACCGCAUGGUUCAAUAGUGAAAGACGGUUUUGCUGUCACUUAUAGAUGGAUCCGCGCCGCAUUAGCUAGUUGGUAAGGUAACGGCUUACCAAGGCAACGAUGCGUAGCCGACCUGAGAGGGUGAUCGGCCACACUGGAACUGAGACACGGUCCAGACUCCUACGGGAGGCAGCAGUAGGGAAUCUUCCGCAAUGGGCGAAAGCCUGACGGAGCAACGCCGCGUGAGUGAUGAAGGUCUUCGGGUCGUAAAACUCUGUUAUUAGGGAAGAACAAAUGUGUAAGUAGCUAUGCACGUCUUGACGGUACCUAAUCAGAAAGCCACGGCUAACUACGUG